rnacentral:rRNA from 1 species
CAGUGUGAUGGAUAUCUGCAGAAUUCGCCCUUAGAGUUUGACCUGGCUCAGAUUGAACGCUAGCGGCAGGCCUAACACAUGCAAGUCGAGCGGAAACGAGUUAUCUAAACCUUCGGGGGACGAUAACGGCGUCGAGCGGCGGACGGGUGAGUAAUGCCUAGGAAAUUGCCCUGAUGUGGGGGAUAACCAUUGGAAACGAUGGCUAAUACCGCAUAAUGCCUACGGGCCAAAGAGGGGGACCUUCGGGCCUCUCGCGUCAGGAUAUGCCUAGGUGGGAUUAGCUAGUUGGUGAGGUAAUGGCUCACCAAGGCGACGAUCCCUAGCUGGUCUGAGAGGAUGAUCAGCCACACUGGAACUGAGACACGGUCCAGACUCCUACGGGAGGCAGCAGUGGGGAAUAUUGCACAAUGGGCGCAAGCCUGAUGCAGCCAUGCCGCGUGUGUGAAGAAGGCCUUCGGGUUGUAAAGCACUUUCAGUCGUGAGGAAGGUAGUGUAGUUAAUAGCUGCAUUAUUUGACGUUAGCGACAGAAGAAGCACCGGCUAACUCCGUGCCAGCAGCCGCGGUAAUACGGAGGGUGCGAGCGUUAAUCGGAAUUACUGGGCGUAAAGCGCAUGCAGGUGGUUUGUUAAGUCAGAUGUGAAAGCCCGGGGCUCAACCUCGGAAUUGCAUUUGAAACUGGCAGA